AUUUUUAAAGGGCUGCAGUAUAUUGACUGUACAAAGGUAGCAUAAUCAGUAGUCUUUUAAUUGAAGACUUGUAUGAAUGAUUUGAUGAGAUAUAAACUGUCUCUUUUUUAAAAAUAGAAUUUAAUUUUUUAGUUAAAAAGCUAAAAUAUAUAUAAAAGACGAGAAGACCCUAUAGAUCUUUAUAUUUAAGUUUUUAGAUUUAUUAUAUAAAAAUUAAAAUUUUUAAAAAUUAAAAUAUUUUAUUGGGGUGAUAGAAAAAUUUAAUAAACUUUUUUUAAAAAUUAAACAUUUAUUUAUGAAUUUUUGAUCCAUAAUUUAUGAUUAAAAGAAUAAGUUACCUUAGGGAUAACAGCGUAAUUUUUUUUUUUAGUUCAAAUAAAAAAAAAAGUUUGCGACCCCGAUGUUGGAUUAAAAUAAAAUUUAAAUGCAAAAGUUUAAAAUUUG
rnacentral:rRNA from 1 species